rnacentral:lncRNA from 1 species
ACAAACUUGAACUUGUGAACAUGUCAACUUCAUUAUUUCCUCCCCAUUCUUGCGCUACGAAACUCUCAUUAUAUAUUUUUGCCAGUGCAGAAACUACAUCGUCUGGUGAGUUUUUGUCACAAGCAGUAAUUGUUUUCAUCACAGUAUCCCUUAUCAAUCUUACAAAGUUGUGCAACUCCAUGUUGGUGAUCUCCUCAGGUACAAAUUUUACCGGAGCAUCAAUUACAAGAUUUCCAAAAGAUUUUGCUAUUUGGGGUAAAGAGAUCAGCUUAGUACGUAAGUUUAUUGGAAUGCCCAUUAUAGAACGUCUCAAAUGCCCGUG